AUCGCUUCUCGGCCUUUUGGCUAAGAUCAAGUGUAAAAAUAAAAUUUUAGGGACUCAGAUGACAGUUUAGAAUUCACCUUUUUUUGCUUCACAAACAGAUGUAAGGUAAAGGGGCAACUACUUUGCUCAAAGUUAAUUUGCCCCAUACCAGU
rnacentral:snRNA from 1 species